UACAGAGGGUGCGAGCGUUAAUCGGAAUUACUGGGCGUAAAGCGCGCGUAGGCGGCUUUGCAAGUCGGGUGUGAAAUCCCCAGGCUCAACCUGGGAACUGCAUUCGAGACUGCAUUGCUAGAGUAUGGGAGAGGGAAGUGGAAUUUCCGGUGUAGCGGUGAAAUGCGUAGAUAUCUGAAGGAACAUCAGUGGCGAAAGCGACUUCCUGGACCAAUACUGACGCUCAUGUGCGAAAGCGUGGGGAGCAAACAGG
rnacentral:rRNA from 1 species